CCCUUAGAUGUUCUGGGCCGCACACGCGCUACACUGAAGGAGGCAGCGUGUACUCCUGGAUCGAAAGAUUUGGGUAACCCGCGAAUCUCCUUCGUGCUAGGGAUUGAGGUUUGCAAUUAUCCUUCAUGAACGAGGAAUUCCCAGUAAGUGCAAGUCAUAAGCUUGCGCUGACUACGUCCCUGCCCUUUGUACACACCGCCCGUCGCUACUACCGAUUGAAUGCUUUAGUGAGGACUUCGGACUGGGACCGAUGCGGCUUUCGGGCUGCGUCGGUAUUCUGGAAAGAUGUCCAAACUGUAUCAUUUAGAGGAAGUAAAAGUCGUAACA
rnacentral:rRNA from 1 species